CCUACGGGAGGCUGCAGUGGGGAAUAUUGCGCAAUGGGCGAAAGCCUGACGCAGCGACGCCACGUGAGGGAUGAAGGUCUUCGGAUCGUAAACCUCUGUCAGCAGGGAAGAACGGUCACUGUGCUAAUCAGCAGUGAAUUGACGGUACCUGCAAAGGAAGCACCGGCUAACUCCGUGCCAGCAGCCGCGGUAAGAAGUAGGGUGCGAGCGUUAAUCGGAAUUACUGGGCGUAAAGCGCUCGUAGGCGGUAUGUCAAGGCAAGGGUGAAAUCCCCGGGCUCAACGUGUGAACUGCCUUUGAAACUGGCAGACUGGAGUGUGUGAGAGGAUAGUGGAAUUCCAGGUGUAGCGGUGAAAUCCGUAGAUAUCUGGAGGAACAUCAGGGGCGAAGGCGACUAUCUGGCACAUAACUGACGCUGAGGAGCGAAAGCGUGGGUAGCAAACAGGAUUAGAUACCCCAGUAGUC
rnacentral:rRNA from 1 species